GAUGAACGCUGGCGGCGUGCCUAAUACAUGCAAGUCGAGCGAACAGAUGAGGAGCUUGCUCCUCUGACGUUAGCGGCGGACGGGUGAGUAACACGUGGAUAACCUACCUAUAAGACUGGGAUAACUUCGGGAAACCGGAGCUAAUACCGGAUAAUAUAUUGAACCGCAUGGUUCAAUAGUGAAAGACGGUUUUGCUGUCACUUAUAGAUGGAUCCGCGCCGCAUUAGCUAGUUGGUAAGGUAACGGCUUACCAAGGCAACGAUGCGUAGCCGACCUGAGAGGGUGAUCGGCCACACUGGAACUGAGACACGGUCCAGACUCCUACGGGAGGCAGCAGUAGGGAAUCUUCCGCAAUGGGCGAAAGCCUGACGGAGCAACGCCGCGUGAGUGAUGAAGGUCUUCGGAUCGUAAAACUCUGUUAUUAGGGAAGAACAAACGUGUAAGUAACUAUGCACGUCUUGACGGUACCUAAUCAGAAAGCCACGGCUAACUACGUG
rnacentral:rRNA from 1 species